CCCCCCCCCCCCCCCCCCCCCCCCCCCCCCCCCCCCCCCCCCCCCCCCCCCAUAAAGGCUGAGAUCUCUAAAGGGCCUGGGAAGGCUCCUGAAUCAGGAGUCAAGUUGAACAGGAAGAAUCUUGAGUGGGAUGGCAAAUGGGAGAAUCGCGUGUUUUGGACCGUGUGGAUUCGGUGGCCUGGCACAUCGAAACCACAAAAAUACAAGGCUCUAGUCGACACCGGUGCACAAUGUGCCAUAUUUCCAUCAAGAUACGUGGGGGCAGAAUCUGUUUCAAUCGCUGGCAUCGCAGGUGGAUCACAGGACUUCACCUUGGUGGCAGCAGAAUGAGUUUGACUGGAAAAGAGUGGAAAAGAUACCGAAUUGUGAUUGGCCCAGAGGCCCCGUGCAUUUUAGGAAUAGAUUUCCUUCGAAGUGGGUAUUUUAAGGAUCCAAAGGGAUUCAAGUGGGCAUUCGGAAUAGCAGCUGUAAUGGCAGAGAGAAUCCGGCAAUUGAACACUCUGCCUGGACUAAGUGAGAAUCCAAUUGCCGUGGGACUCCUGAGGGUGGAGGAGCAGGAAGUGCCGAUUGCCACUUCGAUAGUACAUCGCCGGCAAUAUAGGACCACUCGAGAUGCUGUGAUUCCCAUUCACAAGAUGAUCCGUGAGCUGGAGAGCCAAGGGGUGGUUAGCAAAACCCACUCACCCUUCAACAGUCCUAUUUGGCCUGUGAGAAAAUCUGAUGGAGAAUGGAGAUUAACUGUGGACUACCGUGCAUUGAAUGAGGUGACUCCACCCCCCCCCCCCCCCCCCCCCCCCCCCCCCCCCCCCCCCCCCCCCCCCCCCCCCCC
rnacentral:lncRNA from 12 species